GCAUAACGCGAAGAACCUUACCCACCUUUGACAUGUACGGAAUCCUUUAGAGAUAGAGGAGUGCUCGAAAGAGAGCCGUAACACAGGUGCUGCAUGGCUGUCGUCAGCUCGUGUCGUGAGAUGUUGGGUUAAGUCCCGCAACGAGCGCAACCCUUGCCAUUAGUUGCUACGAAAAGGCACUCUAAUGGGACUGCCGGUGACAAACCGGAGGAAGGUGGGGAUGACGUCAAGUCCUCAUGGCCCUUAUAGGUGGGGCUACACACGUCAUACAAUGGCUGGUACAGAGGGUUGCCAACCCGCGAGGGGGAGCUAAUCCCAUAAAGCCAGUCGUAGUCCGGAUCGCAGUCUGCAACUCGACUGCGUGAAGUCGGAAUCGCUAGUAAUCGCAAAUCAGAACGUUGCGGUGAAUACGUUCCCGGGUCUUGUACACACCG
rnacentral:rRNA from 1 species